GUGGAAACACUGGUUCCCGUACGAUCACCGAAGUUAAGCAACGUCAGUACUUAGCAGAUGGGUGAUCCCUUGGGAAUACCAGGUCCUGUA